GACACGAUGGCCGAGUGGUCUAAGGCGGUAGAUUUAAGCUCUGCUUGGAUCUCUACUACAGAAAUGUGCGUGGGUUCGAACCCCACUCGUGUCA